rnacentral:rRNA from 1 species
UACCAGCACCCCGAGUGGUCGGGACGAUUAUUGGGCCUAAAGCAUCCGUAGCCGGUCAUGCAAGUCCUCCGUUAAAUCCACCUGCUUAACAGAUUGGCUGCGGAGGAUACUACAAGGCUAGGAGGCGGAAGAGGCAAGCGGUACUCAGUGGGUAGGGGUAAAAUCCUCUGAUCCAUUGAAGACCACCAGUGGCGAAGGCGGCUUGCCAAUACGCGCUCGACGGUGAGGGAUGAAAGCUGGGGGAGCAAACCGG